rnacentral:rRNA from 1 species
GACGAACGCUGGCGGCGUGCUUAACACAUGCAAGUCGAACGGAAAGGCCCUGCUUGCAGGGUACUCGAGUGGCGAACGGGUGAGUAACACGUGGGUGAUCUGCCCUGCACUUCGGGAUAAGCCUGAAACUGGGUCUAAUACCGGAUAGGAGCCAUUUUUAGUGUGAUGGUUGGAAAGUUUUUUCGGUGUAGGAUGAGCUCGCGGCCUAUCAGCUUGUUGGUGGGGUAAUGGCCUACCAAGGCGGCGACGGGUAGCCGGCCUGAGAGGGUGGACGGCCACAUUGGGACUGAGAUACGGCCCAGACUCCUACGGGAGGCAGCAGUGGGGAAUAUUGCACAAUGGGCGCAAGCCUGAUGCAGCGACGCCGCGUGGGGGAUGACGGCCUUCGGGUUGUAAACUCCUUUCGCUAGGGACGAAGCUUUUUGUGACGGUACCUAGAGAAGAAGCACCGGCUAACUACGUG